CGCGUGUUCGUCGUCUGUCUCCUCUGGGGAAGACAAGAAACUACUCAUCAAUAUGGUGCCCUGAUCGCUCUCAAUGGGGCACGUGGUGAGUUGUGCGUGGAUGCCUCCAUGGUAACGCACUCAACAAGCCACGUAAUAAGAUGCGCGGAUUGACGGUCUCGGACGUGGAGGCAACUGAGAUUCAUCCUCCGCCACCCGGACUGAGACGAGUCACAACGCCAUCACGAGGACUUAGAGCGCAUUGGGAAUUGGGCAUGCCAAAUUGGGGAGAAAAAAAAACAGUUGCACCACUUUUGUGCAUGUCAGUGUAGAGCCGAGGAGGGCGGGGCCGGGCUGGAAUGAUGCACACCCGGUCCUCAAUCAGCCUGAUGGUGCACGCGAGGGAUAAAGGCGGCCGGGAACGACAGUUCGAGAGAGAGAGAAUUACAGGCAGCUGCCCUGUGUGUGGUUAUGUUUGUGUUUUUGGUUAAGUUGUUCAUUAAACUAUUAUUUAAGUUGUCAAGCCGGUUCUCACCUCCUCCUUUCCCUCUAACCCCCUUACAGUCAGACAGUGUCUCUCAUCAAAAGCAGCAUAAUUUGCAGCUCAGUUAGCAGAGGGAUUCGGGUUUGACACACAGUGCUCUUUAUUGAAUCUAAUUGUUUUGAGUCGUGAAUUAAGAAUCAAUUUAAAUCUAAUUGUAACACCAAGAAUCGGAAUCAAACUGAAUAGUGAGACUGUCCCAAAUUCCCACCCCUACAUGGCAGUACCACCAUGUCCAAAUAAUAUUUUCCCCAUGCAGUUCUAAUCUGAAUCUUUUAAUAAAUGUAUACUGAUACAGUCCAUACUACAGAUAAAUUGAGAAUUAUAUAGAAUGUAAUUAGUGCCGUUAUUCACAUUAUUGUUUAUAUUUUAGAUACACAUUAUUAUAAAUCUUUAAAACCUUAGAAGCAUUAUU